AUGAACGCUGGCGGCGUGCCUAAUACAUGCAAGUAGAACGCUGAAGGAGGAGCUUGCUCUUCUGGAUGAGUUGCGAACGGGUGAGUAACGCGUAGGUAACCUGCCCGGUAGCGGGGGAUAACUAUUGGAAACGAUAGCUAAUACCGCAUGACAACAGUUAUUGCAUGAUAACUGUUUAAAAGGGGCAACUGCUCCACUACCAGAUGGACCUGCGUUGUAUUAGCUAGUUGGUGAGGUAACGGCUCACCAAGGCGACGAUACAUAGCCGACCUGAGAGGGUGAUCGGCCACACUGGGACUGAGACACGGCCCAGACUCCUACGGGAGGCAGCAGUAGGGAAUCUUCGGCAAUGGACGGAAGUCUGACCGAGCAACGCCGCGUGAGUGAAGAAGGUUUUCGGAUCGUAAAGCUCUGUUGUAAGAGAAGAACGAGUGUGAGAGUGGAAAGUUCACACUGUGACGGUAUCUUACCAGAAAGGGACGGCUAACUACGUG
rnacentral:rRNA from 1 species